rnacentral:misc_RNA from 1 species
AUCUUUUUUUUUUUUUUUUAAGAAAAAGGAUAUUUCAUUAGAUCAAAUAUGAUUACAAGACCCAAGCCACUAAACAAUAAUGCCGCAUAAAACUCCAACUCAAGCCCAGAAAUAGGCCUAAACCCUGAUAAUCAUGGAUCUCUAGGCUAAAACGGGUAGGACCUGGAGAACCAAGCUUCAUUGAUGCCGACUUCACCUUCACCAGCAAACCCUUCACUAGUCUUCCAAGGGAAAUUGACAGGAUCUUGAACAUCUAACAUGUAGAGGAAGAUUAUCAAUAGUAGAGGGAGAUCAGAACACCUCACUCAAACACAGAUGUCGUCCCUGCACAACACAUGCACUCCUAGAGGAGAUGGAGAAAAUGCAGCAAACCAGAGAAAAACCUAGGACUAGGGCCAGUGCUGGAUGAACUCGAGAAAGGUCAUGGCAACAAUGAUCGGAUCGGUACCCACCUCUGAAUCUGCCAACCAAUGCUUGCUCUGAGAAGCUUCAUAGCAAGCACCAAGGGAAGCAACAUUUAACAAACAGAGCUUCCUCACAACAACCUAACAAAACCCAAUCCAAAAGAGGGGUAUUAGGAUUCCGUAGUGGAAGACUUUGAAAAACUAGAAAGAAAACAAAAGAAAAUAGCUAAG